GAUGAACGCUAGCUACAGGCUUAACACAUGCAAGUCGAGGGACCGGCGCACGGGUGAGUAACACGUAUCCAACAUGCCCUUUACUCGGGGAUAGCCUUUCGAAAGAAAGAUUAAUACCCGAUAUAAAGGAUGGGGAUGCGUUCCAUUAGGUUGUUGGUGAGGUAACGGCUAGCCAAGCCUUCGAUGGAUAGGGGUUCUGAGAGGAAGCUACCCCACAAUUGAGCUGAGGCACAGACCACAAUCCUAUGUGAGGGAGCGGAGAGGUCUAUUGGUCACUGAGCGCUAGCCUGACACAGCCGAGUAGCGUGAAGAAGGAAGGCUUAUGGGUCGUAAAUUUCUUUUAUAUAAGAAUAUGUAUUAUAUCAAUAAGGAUCGGCUAACUCCGUGCCAGCAGCCGCGGUAAUUC
rnacentral:rRNA from 1 species